rnacentral:tRNA from 1 species
GCGGGGGUCGCCAAGCCAGGUCAAUUAAUGACCAAAGGCGGCGGGUUCAGGACCCGCUGACGUAGGUCUUCGUGGGUUCAAAUCCCACCCCCCGCA